rnacentral:sRNA from 1 species
ACAUGGGUCUUUGGAGAUAUACCUUGGAAAUAAGAAACAGGGUAGUGGAAAUACAGGGCUGGGGUAUUCCGAGACAUUCAAACCAUCAUCUCAAGGGUUUUUUCUCGGGGUGUUUUACGAAACGAAAUUUGCUGGGAUGAUGGACGGAGGCUGACUGGGAGCCCGGUGGUGUUUGAGAAGAUCCCCCGCAAGUGGCGACUACAGGAGAUCGAGUCGAGGACCUGUUGUUCAUUUUCUCAAUCGAAGAUGGGCUUCAGGUUAGUGGAGGCUGAUGGUCAGAGCUUCUUAGGGGUGUUUCGUCGACGCAGGUACGGGACUAGAGACAACCAUCUAAGUAGCUGGUUGAGGAUCUGUGUUGUUUCAUUCAACUCCCAAGCGACUUGAUUGACCGCCCAGAGAAUUGGCUGGCGGGUCUCUCUGCCGUGGUGAAGAUGUUUGACAGAAAACCAAAUAUGCCAGA